CGAAGAAGGACGUGGUAAGCUGCGAUAAGCCAGGAAGAGCUGCACACAAGCAUUAUAUCCCUGGAUUUCCGAAUGGGUCAACCCGGUACGUUGAAGACGUAUCACUCGAAAGAGAGCCA
rnacentral:rRNA from 1 species